GACGAACGCUGGCGGCGUGCUUAACACAUGCAAGUCGAACGGAAAGGCCCUGCUUUUGUGGGGUGCUCGAGUGGCGAACGGGUGAGUAACACGUGAGUAACCUGCCCUUGACUUUGGGAUAACUUCAGGAAACUGGGGCUAAUACCGGAUAGGAGCUCCUGCUGCAUGGUGGGGGUUGGAAAGUUUCGGCGGUUGGGGAUGGACUCGCGGCUUAUCAGCUUGUUGGUGGGGUAGUGGCUUACCAAGGCUUUGACGGGUAGCCGGCCUGAGAGGGUGACCGGCCACAUGGGGACUGAGGUACGGCCCAGACUCCUACGGGAGGCAGCAGUGGGGAAUAUUGCACAAUGGGCGGAAGCCUGAUGCAGCAGCGCCGCGUGCGGGAUGACGGCCUUCGGGUUGUAAACCGCUUUCGCCUGUGACGAAGCGUGAGUGACGGUAAUGGGUAAAGAAGCACCGGCUAACUACGUG
rnacentral:rRNA from 1 species